rnacentral:rRNA from 1 species
UACAGAGGUCUCGAGCGUUGUUCGGAUUCAUUGGGCGUAAAGGGUGCGUAGGUGGCGCUGUAAGUCAGGUGUGAAAUUUCGGAGCUUAACUCCGAAACUGCAUUUGAUACUGCGGUGCUUGAGGACUGGAGAGGAGACUGGAAUUUACGGUGUAGCAGUGAAAUGCGUAGAGAUCGUAAGGAAGACCAGUGGCGAAGGCGGGUCUCUGGACAGUUCCUGACACUGAGGCACGGAAGGCCAGGGGAGCAAACGGG